rnacentral:misc_RNA from 1 species
CCAAACUUGGUCAUUUAGAGGAAGUAAAAGUCGUAACAAGGUACGCCUUCCGCAUGCACUUGCGAGCCUUAGCAGCCCGAAAGGGUGACUCCGCGACAUAAAUAAGGAGAGUCUUGAAUGCUAGUCGACAUUGUCGGCGACACUAUCAAAUUGCGGGAAACCCCUAAAGACCUCACCACCAAGCGUCGCUGGAAACAGCGGCGUGGCCGAGCUAAUAGCCCUGGGUAUGGUAACAGCGUGAGGUAUGAUCGGCCCCCUAGAGAAAUCCUGGGGAUGUCAUGCGUUCCGUAGGUGAACCUGCGGAAGGAUCAUUACUGAGAAGCCUUCGGGCACUCAAACCUAUGUUUACCAAAUCUUGUCUUUGCGGGUUGGGAGACCGCCCGCGACUCAAACUGUUUGACAUUGUCUGGUUAAUCAUAAACAAAACAACUUUCAACAAUGGAUCUCUUGGCUCCGGCAUCGAUGAAGAACGCAGC